GUGGGGUCCCCAUGGCAACGGCUCUGAUGCCAGAACCCAGGAUUACGGCACUGGGAACAGCUGCGGGCGGGGGCCCGGGAGGGGUGAGCCGAGAGAACAGGCAGCGGAGGGAAGGGGAGGCGACUGCCAAACCCACUGGGCUUUCUGUUAGCUCUUUUUAAAAGAAAACAAAGCGCUCUGAGAAGUCCGUCUUAACCUGAUGAAUCAUCUGGUCACCUUAUGCGUGGAGUUUGUGAUGAAGCCUUCCAGCGAUACUUCCCAACUGAAGCAAAUUUGCCUUCUAGAACAGCCCAAGAAAAGGUCGUGGCUGUGGAGUCUGUAUUGCUCUGUCGCAGACAUUAAAGGAGCAGCUUGCCACAAAAAGGACUGUCUGCUUGGCGGCCGCUCACCCCUGCCAGCCUCCUCCUGCUUUCUGCUCUGAUGGUGUGGGUAUGAAUCCUCUUCUCGCUGCAGGGAAGAUAAACUCACUGUCUUUGGAGCUACAGCUUGCCUAAAGCGUCAGAACCUCGCUCAUCCACAGCGCACAAGGUGGCCCCGAGGCUCCAAUUAGUCAGCACUCAAGAACAAUGUCAUCGCAGGAAGGAACAGUGCAUAGGCUGCCGGAGAGCCCUCCGUCUGUCUUCACAAGAGACAAGUUGCUAUCUGUGUGGGGCUGUCUCUACAAAGUGUUCUUGCCACAAGACUCCUGGGGGGAUUUCUCUCUAAUGAUGAGUCUUCUUCCCCCAUGAAAGAGACUGCUGUUC